ACGCUGGCGGCAGGCCUAACACAUGCGUGUCGAGCGGCAGCACAGGUACUUGUACCGGGUGGCGAGCGGCGGACGGGUGAGUAAUGCCUAGGAAUCUGCCUGGUAGUGGGGGAUAACGCUCGGAAACGGACGCUAAUACCGCAUACGUCCUACGGGAGAAAGCAGGGGACCUUCGGGCCUUGCGCUAUCAGAUGAGCCUAGGUCGGAUUAGCUGGUUGGUGGGGUAAUGGCUCACCAAGGCGACGAUCCGUAACUGGUCUGAGAGGAUGAUCAGUCACACUGGAACUGAGACACGGUCCAGACUCCUACGGGAAGCAGCAGUGGGGAAUAUUGGACAAUGGGCGCAAGCCUGAUCCAGCCAUGCCGCGUGUGUGAAGAAGGUCUUCGGAUUGUAAAGCACUUUAAGUUGGGAGGAAGGGCCGUUACCUAAUACGUGAUGGUUUUGACGUUACCGACAGAAUAAGCACCGGCUAACUCUGUGCCAGCAGCCGCGGUAAUACAGAGGGUGCAAGCGUUAAUCGGAAUUACUGGGCGUAAAGCGCGCGUAGGUGGUUUGUCAAGUUGAGUGUGAAAGCCCCGGGCUCAACCUGGGAACUGCAUGCAAAACUGGCAGGCUAGAGUAUGGUAGAGGGUGGUGGAAUUUCCUGUGUAGCGGUGAAAUGCGUAGAUAUAGGAAGGAACACCAGUGGCGAAGGCGACCACCUGGACUGAUACUGACACUGAGGUGCGAAAGCGUGGGGAGCAAAC
rnacentral:rRNA from 1 species